rnacentral:lncRNA from 1 species
UACCUUGCUUAUUGUGUUUUUACGCGGUUUUAUACUUUUUUUAUGAGUUAUGAUAGCAGCAAUUACGUUGUUUGUAUUUUGCUUAACUAAAACAAAAAUGCUUUUAUCUUGCUAUAGAAUAAACACAUUUCAGUAAAAUCUGUGGACUGUAUUUUGAUGCAACCGCAAGGACACUGUUCACUUUUCAAAUAAAAUGGAAUGUCAAAUUUUAUUUUUGGUCCCUUGACUACGUUAAGUUGGGGAACAUGACACUUGACCAGCCCUGCCUGGCCUGAGCAGUGUCCUCCAUUUUCAUCUGGAAGCACAGUUUUCAUGACCAAGAAUUUGGAUUCUACAGCCAAAUCCCAGGGCCCAGAAAAAAAAAAAAAGAUGGGAAUUUUUUUGUAAUUAUCUUUUUGUUAAGAUAUAAAUUUGAUACAGAUAAUUUACAAAUAAAAUACAGAUAAGCUACAGAUAUAUUUAUGUAAAGCAAAAAGCAGUUGUUUUCUGUUCAGCUAUUAAAAUAAAUGGUGAGUCCUGAUUUUGAGACCCAAGUCAGAAUUUCGGUGCCCAUUUUCCCCCUUCUUGUGUGCUCCGUGGUGGCUUCUCUUUGAGAGCUGCAUGACCAUGAUCCCCAGUUGUCUUGCAUGAUUAAUUACAGCAUCUGUCCUGUCAGAAGCUGUAAUGAAGAGGUCUUGAUAAAAAUUGCAAAUUACCACUGGCAACAGUCUUAAACUGCUUAUGAUAAAAUGAAAAUUAAAAACAGCAAGCGUCAAGCCUGACCAGAAUCCUAAUCUGAAAAGAAGGCAGCGAGCACGGCAGCGUCCAUUGCUACCGUGUGCAGGACGUCCAAAAAUAAUGGAAUAUGGAUUCCUCAAAGUUGUCAUACUUCAAAGAAUAUUUACUGUAUGUUGUGGGUUAUGAAUAAUGAAUUUUGCUUUCAAUAUUUCAUAAUCCUCUCAUACUCUGUAUUAUGUACAAAUAUUGAACAGCGAGGGAUUCUAAUUAUAAAUUUAUAGGUUUCUUGCUGUAGAGAAAUUUAUGUCUAAACUGAAGCUUUUCAUAAGAUGUAUUAGUUGACAGGUAUCAGUGUUCAAACAGUCUUAGAAAGAUGCCUAACCACAUCUACAAGGGGCCAAUUGUGCUCCCCAAAGAAGUGAUCUGCCUGCAGCAGACCCAUCAGGAGCGCAGCCAGCGCUCAAAGGGUCUUUGUGAAUAGAAACCAGCGUUACAUAGCAAUAAGAACCAUUUGAUAUUCUGUUGUGGGACCUUUAGACAAAUGUCUUCAACAUUAAUUGCUAAACUACAUGUGACAGUAAUUGUGUCUUAGUUCUGUAAUUGUCAUUUUGAAAACCCAUGAAGUAUUGCUGGGGAAAAAAUGUCACUAGUGAUGAGACUUAAUUGCAAGUGAAGUCUGUUUGCAACUGUUUGCAGUUCCAGGCUGGUGCUGCUAUAGCCAUUACAGGAGGGCUUUUUCUUUUUUUUUUUUUAAUCUUAAAUUUUUAUCACAUUUUAUCAAAUUAUAUAAAGCUACUUCUGGUCAAUUCCAGGGGAAGAAUAAGAUAAUUUCUACAAUUAGAAAAAUUAAUCACCAGGCAAAGCUGUACAUUUAAAACAAUAAAGGAUUUGAAUUCUGUAAUGAGUACCCCACUCUUGUUACCAAGUUGUUUUAAUCAAGAUUCACCAUUUAUAUGAGUGAUUGGUUUCUAUCUCUGAAUUGAAGUAAGGUUUUCGGUACUCAUUCUCUAGGAGAUCAGAAAUAAGUCUGGGCAAAGAAAGCUUGUGAGAGAAACCUAGUACCUGAUUGAGUAGAGCCUUAAAUUGUCCCACAGACAUUGAGACACUUUCUCUCCCCACACCCAUCUCCAUCGCACACACCUAGUCUCUCCCCUGCUGUGGGGACAUUAUUUUAUUAUUCCAGCUAACCGAGUUCCCUUUCUGUGUUCACCUGUAUAGCCGUCUGAUGAAAGAGCAUAAGGACUUUUUCAUUUUCAGCUGACACGGGGUCAUUAGUUCCUGACUCAAAGAACAGAAACUUAAAUGCCUUCAUGAGCAUAAUUUCUGCAAUAUAUUACCACCUGACAGUGGUCUGAAGGCUUUCAAGACAGAUGGAUUAAUAUCUCAAGUUUAAGUAGGAGUCCUCCGCUGUCCACUCAGCGGGCUCCAGACGUCUGAAUGGUCUCUUCCCCGCUCUCACUUCACAGAGCAUUUUCAGCUCUGGACUUCAAUCUAACCUUUCCUCCCCCUCACCCACCCUCUUUGUUUGGCUUUUGUUUUGCAACAGCUGUUAUUAUCGUUUUUUGGUCAGCUGUGAUUGCUGGAGGCAAAAUAGGACCAGAUGGUGUUUUGCUAUGCAUGAAUGGAGCAUUAGAGGAGCCGGGGACUGAAUAGGCCAAGUUUGAAUGGUGUCUAUGCACCACCUGCCUGCCUUAGCUGUGGCGUACACAUCACAGUAGCAUGAUCCGGCUCAGCCCUAGUGGAAACGGAUGGGAAAGUAGAGAGCUAGGGUGGAUUUUUUCCCCAUAUUUAUUGAUCUUCCAUGCACUAACAGAAUAAUGGACUGUACAGUCCAUUUGAGUUAAUUGUGUAUGACACAGCAUGGAUGUGUAACCCAUCACUCUGGAAUUCUUGUUCACUUUAAGGAUUUCAUUACUACACACACACACACAUACACACACAUAGGGAGAAUGAAAACAUGAAAGUUAAUGGGUAAGUAGGCUCAAGUUUAAAAGAAUAUUAUUCUAAAAUAAUAGACAUAAGAAUCUGAGGUUGCGGGAGUUACUAGAAUAUAGCUGAAAAGUGACUUCUUGUCACCGGUAAUAUGUAGUGAACAAACCUACACUUCUGAGACAGAAGAAUAGGUUGUCCCUCAAAGGCUACUACAGAAGUACUACUCAACCAGAUUUGAAUUUUCUUAGAAAAUAGUCAUAACCCCGUAAGUUUUUCUCUAUAUCCUUCAAACUUACCCUCAAGAAUACACAUGUCCCCUGAAUGCUAAAGCUGGUGGCCGAGUUUCAUCUGUGUAGACUGCAAGAGCCUACAGGUGUUUGCGUGUGUAUGUUAUUGAGGAAGCGCUAAGCCACCUGGGAGAUGUGGAAUCAGAUAUGCAGGCAGACAGCUCCCUUUGCCUUAGGCCCUAAUUACUUAAAUUUACUUCUGCAGCAUGCAGAACCCUGUGAUGGGUCCCAAAGGAAAGGCAGCGAUAAAUAGCACCUUCUGCUUACUUGGUAGAUGUUUGAAAUUUUUCCUAAUAAAGAUUUUUAAAAAA